UGAUGGAAAGUUGAAAAGAACUUUGAAGAGAGGGUUCAAGAGUACGUGAAACCGCCACGGGAAAAAACGUAUGGGACCUCGAAGGUACUGUCGUGAGGAUUCAGCCGAUCCGGUCGGGUGGGCGUCCGCUGUCGACCGCAAGGCGGCACGGAUUCUCUACUUCGAUCGCGAGCGGUGCACUUCCUCGCGGCUGAACGCUGCGAUCGAUUGGGAAGCUGCCAUCGGACGUGGCGGGAGCCUGUCGGACGGACUAGUCCCCCGGCAGACCGCCGCUCUCCGGCAGUCUUUGCGAUCGUUUCCGAAAGGCCGAGUGCCCGCGCACGACGCGUCAGUCUCGAACUCUGACAGCGGCACUCUGCUCUGCAGCGAGUAGAUCGGCGACCCAUACGACCCGUCUUGAAACACGGACCAAGGAGUCUAACAUGUGCGCAAGUGAUUGGGUGUCGAGAGACCCAAACGCGCAAUGAAAGUGAGGGCCAGGAUUGCCGGGCCGAGGGGUGAUCUCGUCCCUCCGGGGGCGGGCGCAGCCCCGGGACGCGCCGAUCGCUUCGUCGACGGCUCGUACCCCGAGCGUACACGUUGGGACCCGAAAGAUGGUGAACUAUGCCUGGCCAGGACGAAGUCAGAGGAAACUCUGAUGGAGGUCCGUAGCGAUUUUGACGUGCAAAUCAAUCGUCCGAGCUGGGUAUAGGGGCGAAAGACUAAUCGAACCAUCUAGUAGCUGGAUCCAUCCGAAGUUUCCCUCAGGAUAGCUGGCGCUCGCANGACCGAGUUUCAUCCGGUAAAGCGAAUGAUUAGAGGCCUUGGGGCCGAAACGANCUCAACCUAUUCUCAAACUUUAAAUGGGUGAGAAGUCGGGCUUGCUCGACUGAAGCACCGACCNUNGAAUCNAGAGUGCCAAGUGGGCCACUUUUGGUAAGCAGAACUGGCGCUGUGGGAUGAACCAAACGCAGAGUUAAGGUGCCCGAGAGAACGCUCAUCAGAUCCCAUGAAAGGUGUUGGUUGCUAUAGACAGCAGGACGGUGGCCAUGGAAGUCGGAA
rnacentral:rRNA from 1 species